GCUGCAGCAGAACCUGGACUGCGGCCCCCAGAGGCAGCCCUGGAAAGCUCUCCAGACCCCCGUCCAGGCCUCUGACCGCAGCGGGAAGGCACACGUGCUGGGAGACGACGAGACGUUCCCGUCUGCCAGCCUCCCCAAUCGCACCUUCCACAAGCGACAGGAGGCCACCAGGUGCGGAGAAAGAGUGGGGAGGGCGGGGAGCCGGCAGGAGCCAGCUCUCCCGGAGCCCCCGGCUGUCCUCCCCGCCUUCGCUUCUUCAUUCCCACCCUGUGUCCACCAGUCUUUCUGACAACCCAACCACCCGUCGGCCAUCCGUCGGCCCGCCCACCCACUGAUGGCAUCCAGUCAGCCACUCCCUCACCCAUCUCUCUGUGAACUGUUCGUCCACACAGGCCGCUUUGCCUCCAUCCCCUGCCUCGUCUUCCCGCCCUCCUUAACCCAUGCAUCGUGUGAUUCACGCAACACAGACUGAGCAUGCGCUCACGGGCCUCGGGGUUUGGAGAUGGACUCUGGGCGCCCAGGGCCCGGGAGAGAGGCCUUUGGGCAGUUAUGUCCAUUCGGUCGGGUAAUUGCUCCGCGUGGGCCUGGACAGGAGACUGGGAGCGGAGGGGUGUCCUG
rnacentral:lncRNA from 1 species